GAUACUCUACGGUGAGCGAAUAUUCUUCAUUUAAUUCAACCGACAAAAAAGAUCCGGGAAGCCACAAUCUGAAUGGAUAACAAGCCUGCUUGACAGGAAGUUAGAAAUUUAGGCUAGGUUACCCACCUAAUGAUGGGGCGGGUCUGAAUUAAUGGGGACACGCCAUUGUGGAGCAUUU
rfam:Peptoniphilus indolicus ATCC 29427 genomic scaffold SCAFFOLD1, whole genome shotgun sequence.